rnacentral:lncRNA from 1 species
CCUGUUGUGGUAAUAGUCAGGUUAAUGUAAGAGAUGUUUCCCCAGAUACCCAGGUGAGCGAUUGAGGAUCCAAGAGCUUAACACAAGUUACGCAGCGAGAAGUAGAGGAAUCAACAAAGUGCAGACCUGAAUCACAUCAAUGCCAGCAAGGCCAAGAUUCCCUGAGUGACGUCUCAUAGCUCAUUGGAUUUUUCUUCAAGGCCUUUAUCCACCCAUAUAAGUGUGGGAUAUGGGUGAAAGAACAAGUUUGCAGAAAAGAUACAGUGAAUUAUGGACCAUGAGUUCGGGAAAGAAGGGUAGGACUGCGUCGCUGGCUGCAGUAUUCUGGAGGCUGGUCUUUGGGCUGUGAUCACUCUUCAUUCUAAAGGAGGCAUUUUCAGAACAUCAGGGAUAUAUCCUGCCCUGGGAUGCUGAUGAAUGGCCGCUUUAAGACUCACUGAGACACUUUGGUGCACGGCUCAGAGUGCUCUGAAGGAGUAGUUUUAAUUCAGCAGUUUUGAUGUGGAAGCAAAAAUAUAUAAAAUGGCAUUAUAU